GACAGAGGAUGCAAGCGUUAUCCGGAAUGAUUGGGCGUAAAGCGUCUGUAGGGGGCUUUUUAAGUCUGCCGUCAAAUCCCAGGGCUUAACCCUGGACAGGCGGUGGAAACUACCAAGCUGGAGUACGGUAGGGGCAGGGGGAAUUUCCGGUGGAGCGGUGAAAUGCGUAGAUAUCGGAAGGAACAUCAGUGGCGAAAGCGGCUUCCUGGACCAGUACCGACGUUCAGGCACGAAAGCGUGGGGAGCAAACAGG
rnacentral:rRNA from 1 species